rnacentral:rRNA from 1 species
UACAGAGGGUGCAAGCGCUACUCGGAAUUACUGGGCGUAAAGCGUGCGUAGACGGUUACAUAAGUCGGGUGUGAAAGCCCCGGGCUCAACCUGGGAAUUGCAUUCGAGACUGCGUAGCUAGGGUGCGGAAGAGGGAAGCGGAAUUUCCGGUGUAGCGGUGAAAUGCGUAGAUAUCGGAAGGAACACCAGUGGCGAAAGCGGCUUCCUGGUCCAGCACCGACGUUCAGGCACGAAAGCGUGGGGAGCAAACAGG